GCUGGAAUCGCUAGUAAUCGCAGAUCAGAAUGCUGCGGUGAAUACGUUCCCGGGUCUUGUACACACCGCCCGUCACACCAUGGGAGUCGGGAAUGCCCGAAGUCAGUGACCCAACCGCAAGGAGGGAGCUGCCGAAGGCAGGCUCGAUAACUGGGGUGAAGUCGUAACAAGGUAAC
rnacentral:rRNA from 1 species